CUGCAAGUUGCUUCUGGUUUGAAAGAAUUGGCCGCCUGCAAGGACGUUGCACAGAGGACGCCCAGAUGUUUUGAUAUUUUUACCAUGCUUGGAAAGGCUUCUCUCAUGUCCCCACAUGGAGCUGGAGCUGAUAGAGGGAGCUCAUCUGUACUCUCCCCGAGUUGGAUUCGAAUCGAAUCGGCAACCUUGAGGUCAGCAACCCAACCUUCAGAAAAGAUUGAAGAAAAAUCUUUAUUGGAGAUAAUCUGCUGGUGUCAAGAAAACCUGAAAUGGGCAUGGAGCGCAAACAAGGUCAGUAGCCAGAGUCCCACUUCAACAUGAAGAUCUUUCCCUGCUGUCAGAAAGGGAGUUUCAGAGCCUAGGAGCGGUAAACAGGAAAAGUCCCUCUUCUUUCCCCAUCAAAUAUGCCUCUAAAGAUGACAGGACCAAGACAAGGGCGUCCCCUAAUAUUCUAGGUAAGUACUCAUGAGAUAAUAAAUUACAAUAUGUUUGAGGAUAAGCUUAAGGAAAUCAUAAAGGAUGGCCCA
rnacentral:lncRNA from 11 species